rnacentral:misc_RNA from 1 species
AAUUGUACAGUGUUUUUGUAUGGUAGUCUCAAGGAUAUUUGAUCAUAUGAUGAGCUUGCAUUGAAUAAAUGGGAGUUAGCUGGGAGUUCUCCAUCGUAUUUCUAUGGCCGUUUAUUAGACCAUGCGGUUGUUGGUUUGAGUGGGAGUUGGAUGUGAUUUUAAUGUCUGGUUCAGCAUUUGGACAAUCAGAGCUUUGGAAUUGGGGCUUAAAGACGUGAUUGAUCCUAUGAUAAGCCAGUAUACAUACAUGUUCAGCAGCCAGCAUGAGUUUGUAAGGUUAUGGGUUUACUUCCAUGCAUCUACAUCGUAAUAUGCGAUCUCUCUCUCUCUCUCUCUCUCUCUCU